UGGACCACCGUGGAGAAUGCUCCAUGAGUGAAGGUCUGGGCAAGUGAUCGCCAUGGGAUGCCCAACCAUGAGACAGAUCCGGAGAGUUGAUUUGUGCCAACACAAGGUAAGUUUAUCAUGGGACAAGCAUUUAGUAAGCAGGAUUUAUUUAUUUCAGGACUUAAACAGUCUCUCAAGACACGAGGAACAAGGAUAAAAAAGAAAGAUUUUAAAAAGUUUCUUGAUUAUAUUGGGGACCUUUGUCCCU
rfam:Neotoma lepida isolate 417 scaffold_1904, whole genome shotgun sequence.